AAAAAAAUUGGAAAAUGGAACUUGAUUGUCACAUGAGAUUCUGUCUGCUAGGAUGAUGCUAUCUAUGACAAAGUACACAUGCUGGAAGAAUUGGUUGAGUUUCCCUGCAUGCUGAAAUGGAGGGGGGCAAUGGCCUGUAAUGCACAUGCAAUCUGGAGAGUCACUACUCGUGACAGGGUUUGGGUGUUAUGGUUAUUGGUUGUCUAGUUUUGCCAAGAGGAUCUCAUAGUGCUUACUUGUUUGGGCGAAUUGAGUCAGUGGUAGUCCCACUGGAGCAGCUCAAGUCCUCUGAUUUUACUGAUCAACAAAAAUACUAUGCCUGCAAAAUGAAAUAAAGGAGCUUUUCUGGAAGGUGAUGCUGCUGUUGCUGUUGCUGAGGAGGUGAAGAAGAACAACCAUGUAGUAAGAAAUUUGGAGAAGCGUCAACAGAUUUGCACCCUUGACCAGCAUAUUGAAGAGCAAUUUGGUGGUGGUCGUCUAUUGGCUUGUAUCUCAUCACGACUUGGACAGUGGCUGUGCGGAUGGGUAUGUGACUUUAUUUGCCUAUGUCUGUUUCUAGUCAGCAGAUUUGUCAUAGGCAUAGUAGUGUAGUUACCAUAUUGCAAGGGCUGAAAUCUGGAUGAUAUCAACUUCUUUUUAUUGUUGUUUUAAAGUGAGGUAUGUAUGGGUCUUAUGAAAUUUUUACAGAAAUAUAUUGGAGGGCAAAUAAUUUUAUUUUAGUUUUUUAUUCCCAAAUGAUACCCAAAACAUGUAAGCUUCACACUAUGUUAAUUUCUGCAGGAUGGGAAAACAUUGGACAAUGAGUUGGAGGUUGUUGAGGGAAUGAAGCUAGACAGGGGCUACAUAUCCCCUUAUUUCAUCACCAACCAGAACAAUCAGAAAUGUGAAUUGGAAAAUC